CUCAUUGUAAAUCUCAAUCAUUUGCACGGCAACAUUGUAGCAGAAGAUGUCUUUCAUUUGCUCUGCUAGAAGAAAUAAAUCGCUCAAUGCCCUAUAAUUUACACCCAGGUUUCCCUCUGUAAGAUCUUUCGGUCCUGUCAUGGUAUAAGUUUUUCCUGAUCCUGUUUGGCCAUAUGCAAAUAUGCAAACAUUGUAUCCAUCAAGAACAGACCGAAUCAAUGGCUGCAUAUCAGAGAAGACCUCCCCCUGUGUUGCAGAUGGCCCGAAGACUUUGUUGAAACUGAAGGACUUGCGUCCUUUUCCAAGUUUUGAAGGGGUGUUAAUAGUAAUAUUUCCAUCUUCUAUAUGAUCCACAGUGCUUAAAUAGUUCGAUUGUCCAGACAAAAAUGGCCUCACUCGGCAAUAAACCCGAAUACUUCCCUUGAGGUCCUGCACCUGAUUGUACAGCUUGCGAUUGUCCUCAAGAACCUUGUGGUAACCAGAAGCAGCAUGAGCUAGACCUUGAAUAUGCAUACCUAAAUUGUUAAAAUCAUCAUGAAAUUUCAUUUGCAAAAGCUGCAUUCCAGCUUUUGUUGUCCGAAGUGCAUGCUUUAAUUCCUCAAUAUCUCUUUGUUGGUGAUCAAAGAUCACCUGUUUCUUCAGGUUUUGAUUUUUACGUUCCUCUUCAGGAAUGUGGUUCUUAUGAAGACAUUCCUCUUUCUUUAUCAUUCUGAUACUUCUAUCUUCAGUCUUUUUAUCACCAGAUGCAGAUUUAAAUACAAACUUGUUGCCCUGAGAAACAGCCGCAUCUUUAGGAGUGGUCAUUACCAGAUCAUAUUGGCUUGCAAUGCGAUGCUCAAACUCUUCCACGACCUUACUUAGCACCGAUUCCACCAACAGUGGAACUUCUUCUGGCUUCUUAUCCAACAAAACAGCACGAACCAGUGUACUCAAGGAACCAGAAGUAGACAUUUUAUUAGAGUCAAGUUCAGUGGACAAAGCGUUCAAAGAUUUUUCAUUCAUUGUCGAAUUCCUCGAUGAGGAAUUCAUAAAUGGCUCAGCGGUUUUUCGUACAAAAGAUUUUGUUGAGAUGGUAGUUUUCACAUUUCCACUAAAUUUCCAAACUCCAUUUCCACCUGUCUGUUUCCACUCACUGUAGGAUUUAAGUGCCAAAACAGUAUUCACAAUCCUGGCAGAUUUUCCUCCCUGUUCCAGAUCAGAUGCCUCGAAAGUAGGAAGUCCAAUCUCUUGUACAGCAACAAGGAAAUUCCUCACAUUUUCAAAAUACUGAAACGCAGAUAAUGCAGCUCCAUCGGGGAUAAGAGCAGCAUCACAUGGACUUUCAACCACCUUGGGCACAGCUCCAGGCUGAAUCUUAUUGAGGGCAUUGCAAAGGAUGAUUCCGCUUCUCAAUCCAAGCCUAAACUCCUCUUCAGAAGGCUCCGCUGGCAAAUCCUUAGCCGCGACCACCCCAACCAUCUUUCUCAACCACCCUGCUGCCUCAUACCUUCUUGAUGCAGCUUCUUCAGCUUUUCUAGACUCCAAAUCAAGAUCUCUGAGUCUAUUGCCGUGCUGUUGCAGUACAUCCUCCACCACCGAAGCCACUGAAAACGACAUUAAUGCUCCCUCCCCUGCCAUUUGCCCCACCGAACGGCAACUGCUACUAUUUCUCUUCCCUUUCUCACAAUUCCACCAUCAAAUCCUCACUGAAACUUCUCAAAAACCAGCAAAAGAAAGAUAUGAAGGAACAAUCAUUCAGCUCCAGCGAAAUUGUAGCUUCAAUUGCAGUCUCUCUAAUAAAAAGAUUUGAAAAAAAGGGAGAUCGGACAAGAAAGAGACUAGAGAGAGAGAAAGAGGUGUUGAUAUUUGUUUGGUGUGGUGAGAUUACUUUGAUGCUAAUACAGACUCACAUUCUCCAUGAGCUUUUGCUUUUCUCUUUUUGCCUUUUUUCCCUCUUCUUCUACAAAGUAUACACAGCUUAUCUCUCUCUCUCUCUCUUCUUGUAUCAAUCUCUGUUUAGAUAUUAAAUUUGAGGGUUUCUUGAUUCUGAAUUUAGUGUUUUCAGUUCUAAAGUUUUCAGCUUUGAACUUUCAAAUGCAAAAACAAGUCUUUCCUAAAUAACCGUACGAGUUUCUAGCCCAACC
rnacentral:misc_RNA from 1 species